rnacentral:lncRNA from 1 species
UUUUUUUCAUGGAGGGGGGGGGGGGUGUAUCGCCUUUCAUUCCCCCCUCAGGGAAGACCACAUGACCCAGGAUAAUGCAGAGAGAGAGAGAGAGAGAGAGAGAGGGGAAAGAAAAAAGGUGAAAGAUGUUGGGCCCCGCUGCUCUGAGCUCUUCAAUAAAAACCACAUGUAGGACAGAGGGAGGUGUGUGUGUGUGUGUGUGUGUGUGUGUGUGUGUGUGUGGGCGGGGGGUGUAAUGACUAAAAACCCAGCCUCUAAGAGAGAGAGAGAGCGAGAGAGAGAGGAGGGAGUCCCUCUGAGCUUCACUGACAUUCCCAACAACCAUUGCAGGGUGUGUGUGUGUGUGAGAGAGAGAGAGAGAGAGUGAGAGAGAGAUAUAACAAUAAGACAGUGUGUGUGACGACUCUUUAACAGCACACACACUCUCACACGCUGAGCUCCAGGCUUCAGUACAGCUGCAGGACGGAAAGGGUCGACUUGGGCAAGAAGAAAAAGAGGAGAAAGCUGAUCUGAGUAGCUGCUGAGAGCUUCUACUUUAUCUCCAACAGAAGAAGAAGAAGAAGAAGAAGAAGAGGUGAACAUGUCGAACGCUCUGCUGAGGAGAAACUCCAGCAAACAGGGUUUACAAAACCUGAUGAGGCUGACCGCUCAAAGGAGCAUCGAGGAUGCAGAGGAGGUGGAGAGGGAGCGCCGGAGAAGAGCUCGCGAGUCUUUAUGCCGGAGGAACAGCGGCUCGGCGCCGGGAGAGACGUCACCAGAGGGCGAGACGUCAGGGGAAAACAUGUAUGAUGGCAGCCUGAAGCCUAGCAGCCCCGCCUCUCUGGAGGAGGAUGAGGGCUUCAGCGACUGGAUUCAGCGCAGAGAGAGACAGAGGCAGCAGCGCCUGCAGUGCCUCAGCCAGGGAGGCGAAGAAUACGAGGACGAGGAGGAGGACGCCGUAAGCAAAGCUGCACCCGCAAAGGCCGCUCAGGCCUCUAUCAUGUCCUCUGCCCGACCGCAGAGAGGAGAGCAGGAGGAGAUGGAGAGGAGGAGGAAGGAACGUGAGGAGGAGGAGGAGAGGAUCCGAGCCAAAACAGCCAAGGAGAAAGAGGAGGAACAGAGGAAGAAGGAUGAAGUGAUGAUGAGGAGGAGGGAGGAGAGUCAGAGACCCAGUGCAGAGGUGGAGAAAAGAAAAGAAGUGAAGGUCUCCUACACAUCGAAGGUUUUCCUUCACCAAGAGCCAAAACACGGCAGCGCCAACGGCCCCACCGCCACAGAGGAAGUGACAUCACACAUGACCAAGACAAACAGAUCCUCCAGCAGAGCGGUGGAGCCGGAGGAGGCGGAGGCCAUCCUGGAGACGGAGCAGCGCCUGGAGAAGAUCCGGCGGAGCCUCCAUGAGAAGGAGAGCCAGGAGCUGGAGCAGCUGAGGCAUCGGCAAGUUGAGGCCGAGCAGGAGCUAGAGGAGCUGAAGAGGAGGAGGGAGGACAGACGCAGAGUCCGAGAGGAGGAGGAGCGGCGCAGGGAGGCAGAGGAGCAGCAGCGGCUGGCCAAAGAGGAGGUGACCUUCAGAUGUGACCAAUCAACGAUGCUGUUGCUGUUUGUUGUUUAA